AAUCUUCCGCAAUGGACGCAAGUCUGACGGAGCAACGCCUCGUGAGUGAUGAAGGAUUUCGAAACGUAAAACACUGUUGUUAGGGAAGAACAAGUAUCGGAGUCACUGCCGGUACCUUGACGGUACCUGACGAGACAGCCAAGGCCAACUACGUGCUAGCAGCCGCGGUAAUACGUAGGUGGCAAGCGUUGUCCGGAUUUAUUGGGCGUAACGCGCGCGCAGGCGGUCUUUUAAGUCUGAUGUGAAAUCUUACGGCUUAACUGUAAGCGGUCAUUGGAAACUUGGAGACUUGAGUGCAGAAGAGGAGAGUGGAAUUCCAUGUGUAGCGGUGAAAUGCGUAGAGAUAUGGAGGAACACCAGUGGCGAAGGCGACUCUCUGGUCUGUAACUGACGCUGAGGCGCGAAAGCGUGGGGAUCAAAC
rnacentral:rRNA from 1 species